rnacentral:rRNA from 1 species
AUUGAACGCUGGCGGCAUGCUUUACACAUGCAAGUCGAACGGUAACAGCACUUCGGUGGCUGACGAGUGGCGAACGGGUGAGUAAUACAUCGGAACGUGCCUAGUAGUGGGGGAUAACUACUCGAAAGAGUAGCUAAUACCGCAUGAGAUCUAAGGAUGAAAGCAGGGGACCUUCGGGCCUUGCGCUACUAGAGCGGCUGAUGGCAGAUUAGGUAGUUGGUGGGAUAAAAGCUUACCAAGCCGACGAUCUGUAGCUGGUCUGAGAGGACGACCAGCCACACUGGGACUGAGACACGGCCCAGACUCCUACGGGAGGCAGCAGUGGGGAAUUUUGGACAAUGGGCGCAAGCCUGAUCCAGCAAUGCCGCGUGCAGGAUGAAGGCCUUCGGGUUGUAAACUGCUUUUGUACGGAGCGAAAAGCCCUCUUCUAAUACAGGAGGGUCAUGACGGUACCGUAAGAAUAAGCACCGGCUAACUACGUG